rnacentral:rRNA from 1 species
UACGUAGGGUGCAAGCGUUAAUCGGAAUUACUGGGCGUAAAGCGUGCGCAGGCGGUUGUGCAAGUCCGAUGUGAAAUCCCCGGGCUUAACCUGGGAAUGGCAUUUGGGACUGCAAGGCUGGAGUGUGGCAGAGGAGACUGGAAUUCCUGGUGUAGCAGUGAAAUGCGUAGAUAUCAGGAGGAAUACCGAUGGCGAAGGCAGGUCUCUGGGCUGACACUGACGCUCAUGCACGAAAGCGUGGGGAGCAAACAGG